rnacentral:lncRNA from 1 species
UUUUUUAUUUAUUUAUUUAUUUAUUUGUCUUUUUACCAUUUCUUUGGCCGCUCCCUCGGCAUAUGGAGCGGCCCUAGAAAAGACCAAAAAAAAAAAAAAAAAAAAAAAAUUAUUCUUAAGUCUUAAGGUUUGAUGCUGUUUGACUUGUAGGGUUCUGACUUGCUUAGGAACUAUCACCCCUUUCUUUCCAAGUUCUCCCUUUUUGAAUGAGAGUGUUUAUGCCCUGUCCCAUCAUUACAACUGGAAGCAUAUAAUUUGUUUGAUUUCACAGGUUCAAAGCUGAAGGAGAAUUUGCCUCAGGAUGAAUCAUACAUUGAGUCUCACCCAUACCUGAUGUAGCUUUUUUUUUGAGGGGGGGGGGUGUUCUUGACAUGAGAGAAUUCCCAGGCCAGGAAUCAAACCCAUGCCACAGCAGUGACAGCAUUGGAUCCUUAACCUGCUAGGCCACCAGGGAACUCCUUGAUGUAGAUGAUAUACAGAUAAGACUUUGGACUUGAGACUUUUGAGGCUGGAACGAGUUAAGAUUUAGGGGCUAUUGGGAUGGUAUAAAUUCAUUUUGCAUGCAAAACCUUCAUGGGGGGGCAGGUGCAUAACAUUAGUCUAAAUGUUUGGGUCCAUCCCCACUAAAUACAUGUGUUGAAAUCCUAAUGCCUAAUGUAAUAUUAUUAGAAGGUGGGACCUUUGGAAGGUGCUUAAGUCAUGAGAGUAGGGUGCUCAUGAAUGGGGUUGGUGCCCUUUAAUUGGCCAUUCUGCCAUGUGAGGAUACAAAAAGUCUUUGAUUCAGAAGAGGGCCUUCACCUGGCCAUACUGGUACUCUGAUCUCGGACUUCUAACCUCCAGAACUAUGAGAAAUAAAUGUUUUUUGUUUAUAAGCCACCUGGUCUGUGAUAUUAUGUUACAGCAGCCUGAAACAGAUUAGGACUUAUUUAUUAUAGCAACCAGUGACUAUUUUCUUGCAAUUCUUCUUUGCCAUUUUAUAGGCUUUAAGGGCAACUCCACACACAUACAUGCAUACACACACACACUAAUAGAGGUUACUAAAUUUGCUUUGUGAAAAACAACACAUGUUGGAGUCCCUGCUGUGGUUCAGUGGGUUAAGAAUCCAAAUGUAGCAGCUGGGGUCUCUUCAGAGGCAUGGGUUCAAUCCCUGGCCCAGGAAUUUCCAUAUGCCGUGGGUGCAGACAUAGAAAAAAACAAUAAAAUAAAAUAGUUAAUUUUUUAAAAUUACACAUAUUUUGUAAAGAAAUGCUAAAAACUGAACUUAAAAUUCAGUUAUAUAGCAUUCUUUCUAAAGUUUGAUGGGCCUGACUCAUAAUAAUGACAGAAACAAUAAAAAAGAAAAAAACAUAUAGGAAAAUGACUGCUCGGAUGUGCCAGCAAUCUGUUUGAAGUUUUAGAUCUAUAAGCACUCUCUGAAUAGUAAUUUGGAGAUCUUUUUAUUUUUAAAUUCUUUAACAAGAAAUAUUUGUAAUGAAUCUUUAUUUCCCCUUUUCAUGUUUUCUUCUAAUAUCCCAUGUUGAUUUCAAAUUAAUUAUGGAUGCUUUGUACUGAGUACUACUCAAGAAUUAACUAAUUCCACUAGUAUCCAUAUUUUCAUCUGUCACAUUACAGUUUUCAACUGUGCUUUUGUAUAGUUCAUGUGUUAUACCUUCAUUUCCUGUUAAAUAAACACCCAGUUAAAAGCAUCAUUAUGAAGCAUAUAGAUAAUGAAGGAGUCAUGAGAAUGGAUUUCAGGAUGUGAAAUAAGAAUAGCCACAAAACAAAACAAAAAAAAAACCAAAAAACAAAAAACAAAAAAAAAAAAAGAAAGAAAAAAAGGAGUUCCCGUCGUGGCGCAGUGGUUAACGAAUCUGACUAGGAACCAUGAGGUUGCGGGUUCCAUCCCUGCCCUUGCUCAGUGGGUUAACGAUCCGGUGUUGCCGUGAGCUGUGGUGUAGGUUGCAGACGCGGAUCGGAUCCAGCGUUGUUGUGGCUCUGGCGUAGGCUGGUGGCCACGGCUCCGAUUCGACCCCCAGCC